UGUAAGAUCAUUGCUGUGUUGCUCCACUACUGUUUCCUGGUUGUGUUUUUUAAUCUACUUGCUCAAGGAUUUGCCCUUCUCAAAUCAGCCACAAGCAUUUCAACUGUUUCAAUACUCAAAUAUCUGUUGCCCAUGGUAUAUGUGAUUCCAUUGAUCAUUGUGGUCACUUCUCUGAUAGUCACCAAGUCCAAAGGUUAUGGUACUGACAAGUUUUGCUGGCUGUCCCCAUCUGAUGGAUUACACUGGGCUUUUGCAGGGCCAGUCAUUUUUGUU